rnacentral:rRNA from 1 species
UUAGUUGGUGGAGCGAUUUGUCUGGUUAAUUCCGAUAACGAACGAGACUCUAGCCUGCUAAAUAGGCGUAUUUCGACAUCCCAAAUGCCGGCUGGAGCCGGGUUCGCCCGGUCUCUAUGUGCGGUUUUUACUGUCGGCGUACAAACAAUUCUUCUUAGAGGGACAGGCGGNNNNN